UACGUAGGGGGCAAGCGUUGUCCGGAAUCAUUGGGCGUAAAGAGCGCGUAGGCGGCCCUGUAAGUCCGCUGUGAAAGUCAAGGGCUCAACCCUUGGAUGCCGGUGGAUACUGCAGGGCUAGAGUCCGGAAGAGGCGAGUGGAAUUCCUGGUGUAGCGGUGAAAUGCGCAGAUAUCAGGAGGAACACCGGUGGCGAAGGCGGCAUCCUGGACCAUUAUUGACGCUGAGGAGCGAAAGCCAGGGAGCAAACGGG
rnacentral:rRNA from 1 species